AGGAUGCCCAGGAAUCACACUCCUCACUUAACACAUAAGGGACUCUGGGACUGUGGAGUCCUGGGACUCCGUGCUGGAAUUGUCUCUGUCCUUCCAUUGGAUUUCCCUGGCACAUGCUCAGAAUGAAAGAUCCCCACGUCCACAGCAGGGAUUACAUGGACAGGUUUCCCUUUAUGGUAACCAUUGGCUGAAGAUUCAAAGGUCUUAAAGCUCCAGUGAUGACAUUAGACCAGGACUGUUUAUCCUUUGAGGAUGUGGCUGUGUACUUCUCCUGGGAGGAAUGAACACUGCUUGAUGACUCUCAAAAGAUCCUGCACCAGACUGUGAUGUCAGAGAUCUGAACACUCAUGUCUUUGAUGGGACUUAUAUCUUCUGGGAUCCAUGACAUGACUCAGCUGGAGUCUUGGGGAGAGCCCUCUGUGCCUGCAUUGAGAUUCCUGACUCCAGGUUGUUGGAUCAAAGUGCAUAGUGAAAUGUCACCCUUUGAGCAGAGUCUGUCUGCAGAAGGUGCCAGUCCAUCCACGCUGCAGCAGCACAUGCUGUGCUGUGCUGAGACACCCUUGCUAAGCAUGGACAAUGUGAUGAUCCUACAGAGCUCCUUAGGUCUUCUAAGGCAUGAAGUGACUUACACUAUUGGGGAUGCCCCCACGAACACUGAGAGUAGAGAGGCCAUUCAGAGUGAGAAGAACUGCAUAUGCAGCGACAGUGGCAAAACUUUUACUAGCACAUCCCACCUCAAUCGACACCAGAUGAUACACACUGGAGAAAAGCCUUUUCAGUGUAGUGAAUGUGGCAAGUCCUUCAGCCAAAAAGCCUUUCUUAUUAAGCAUUUCAGAAUUCACACCGCAGAGAAGCCAUUCAGGUGUGGGGAGUGUGGCAAAACCUUCAAGCACAACUGAUUCCUUGUUGCUCAUCAGCGAGUUCACACAGAAAUGACACUUUUACAUGGACUAAAUGUGCCAAGUCAUACAUGAACACAUCCAGCCAUUUAUAUCAUUAUUGGGUUCAUACUGAAGAAAAGCCAUAGAAGUAUACUAUAGUAGUUUGAAUAGGUAGCCCCAUAGAUCAUGUGUUUGAAUGCUUGGCCCAUAGGGAGUGACACUAUUAGGUGAUGUGGCCUUCUUAGAAUAGGUGUGGCAUUCUUGCAGAAAGUGUGUCACUGUGGGGAUGGGCUUUGAGGUUCAGUGCUCAAGCUCCACCCAGUGUGGGAGAGUCUCUUCCUGGCUGCCUUUAGAUCAGGAUAUAAAACCUCUGCUCCACAGCACCGUGUCUGCCUGCAUGCAGCCAUGGUUCCUGCCAAGAUGGUAAUGGAUUGACCUUCUGAAAAUGUAAGCCAGACCCAAUUAAAUGUUGUCCUUUAUAA